GGGGCUAUAGCUCAGGGGUAGGUAGAGCAUCUGUUUUGCAUGUAGAAGGUCUUGCUCAGGUUCAGUCCUUGAUUGCAUCA